rnacentral:snRNA from 1 species
CUGCUCACUUCAACAGCACAUAUACUAAAAUUGGAAAUAUACAGGGGAGAUUAGCAUGGCCACUACGCAAGGAUCACAUGCAAAUUCGGGAAGCGUUUCGUGUUUUU